CAGGGACAAGUAAGGAGACCCUCACUAGCUACCUCUGCUCCCAGUGCCCCUAGUGGUCAGUAGGAUAGUUGGUGCAAAAGGCCAAUGCACUGGAACUCCAUCUCCAGUAGGAACAUAGGAAGCUGCCUUAUACUAAGUCAAACCAUUGGCCCACGUCAACACAGACUGGCAGCGGCUUCUCCAAAGCUCAGACUGAGGAGGACUUCAAGGAGCUGCCUGUGACCUUGACAGCGACCUUGACUAUGACACCUGACGGACAGGCUCCUGACAGGAAGUACUUUGAACAACAUGAAAUUAUGUUUGAGGGCUGCAUGACCCUCAGGGACAUAACUGUGUGUCUCUCUGAGUGCUUCUGGGGAAAGGGGAGACUGAAGAAAACCACCCACUUACACUUCAGAAGCAGGGGCACUACCACUGCAACCAUGUAUCCUUUCGUUGCAUGCACACAGAAAAAACUUGCAUGCUUGUUGCAUGCACACAGAAGAUGCACACAGAAGUCAGGAUGAAAGCUGCUGAAUUCAAAUGGUUAAAAAAACCCAAAAGAACAGAAACCCCAGCUUCUUCUAGAAACCCAGUUUACCUUUUGAAGUAUUGCUUGUCUUCAAGCUUUGUUUCAGUGAACAAUAUAAUUCUGCAUUAGGCAGAACAAUAAACUGUUAAUAGAAAAUGUCCCCACAUAAUCAUCUCUCAGAAGAUCCACUUCUGAGCUUUAGAUCUUAUUUUAUAUGCAGCACAUCAACCUACUUAACUGCUUGAAUUAAAUAUUUUGUGAUCCAUCCAUAUUACUGAUAUGAUAAACUACUGCUUGAGGUGA